rnacentral:rRNA from 1 species
UGGGGAAUAUUGCACAAUGGGCGCAAGCCUGAUGCAGCGACGCCGCGUGAGCGAAGAAGUAUUUCGGUAUGUAAAGCUCUAUCAGCAGGGAAGAAAAUGACGGUACCUGACUAAGAAGCUCCGGCUAAAUACGUGCCAGCAGCCGCGGUAAUACGUAUGGAGCAAGCGUUAUCCGGAAUUACUGGGUGUAAAGGGAGCGUAGACGGAUGUGCAAGUCUGAUGUGAAAGGCGGGGGCUCAACCCCUGGACUGCAUUGGAAACUGUAAAUCUUGAGUGCCGGAGAGGUAAGCGGAAUUCCUAGUGUAGCGGUGAAAUGCGUAGAUAUUAGGAGGAACACCAGUGGCGAAGGCGGCUUACUGGACGGUAACUGACGUUGAGGCUCGAAAGCGUGGGGAGCAAACA